rnacentral:rRNA from 1 species
AGACCGGAAUAACCCCGGGAAACCGGGGCUAAUGCCGGGUAACCGUUCGGUUCACCUGAACCGAACGUAAAAGGAUGGCUUCUCAGCUAUCGCUUACAGAUGGGCCCGCGGCGCAUUAGCUAGUUGGUAAGGUAACGGCUUACCAAGGCGACGAUGCGUAGCCGACCUGAGAGGGUGAUCGGCCACACUGGGACUGAGACACGGCCCAGACUCCUACGGGAGGCAGCAGUAGGGAAUCUUCCGCAAUGGACGAAAGUCUGACGGAGCAACGCCGCGUGAACGAUGAAGGCCUUCGGGUCGUAAAGUUCUGUUGUGAGGGAAGAACAAGGACCGUGCGAACAGAACGGUCCCUUGACGGUACCUCACGAGGAAGCCCCGGCUAACUACGUGCCAGCAGCCGCGGUAAUACGUAGGGGGCAAGCGUUGUCCGGAAUUAUUGGGCGUGAAGGGCACGCAGGCGGUUCCUUAAGUCUGAUGUGAAAGCCCGUGGCUCAACCACGGAGGGCCAUUGGAAACUGGGGAACUUGAGAACUGAAGAGGAGAGUGGAAUUCCACGUGUAGCGGUGAAAUGCGUAGAUAUGUGGAGGAACACCAGUGGCGAAGGCGACUCUCUGGUCGGUUUCUGACGCUGAGGUGCGAAAGCGUGGGUAGCAAACAGGAUUAGAUACCCUGGUAGUCCACGCCGUAAACGAUGAGUGCUAGGUGUUAGGGGGCUUCCACCCCUUAGUGCUGAAGUUAACGCAUUAAGCACUCCGCCUGGGGAGUACGGCCGCAAGGCUGAAACUCAAAGGAAUUGACGGGGGCCCGCACAAGCGGUGGAGCAUGU